GAAGUGCGAUAAGCAAUGCGAAUUGCAGAAUUCCGCGAGUCAUCAGAUCUUUGAACGCAAAUGGCGCCGGAGGGAUAUCCUUCUGGCAUGUCUGUUUCAGUGUCUGAGAGGUUUCACCAACAUCUUAAUGUGAUUGACAGCAGCAGCAGCAGCAAGCAAUUGUUGUGGUUGGUGUUGUCUCUCAUGAAAGAUGCGCGAGUGGAUCUUUCGGUCCAAUGAAGUGGUCACAUCACUCGUAUGUGAUUUCAUUGGGAGCACCGAAUUAUCCGCCAUGCUCGCGGUGUCAUCAUAUAAUAUAUGACGAAAGCAAGAAAGAAAGAAAGAAAGAGUUUCUUUCUUCUUCUUCUUCUUCUUUGGUUGUAUUUUUUUUCUCUCUCUACACCCUGCAUCUGAGAUAGGCAAGAUCACCCGCUGAACUUAAGC
rnacentral:misc_RNA from 1 species